AUGUCUAAGUACAUGCCGUAUUAAGGCGAAACCGCGAAUGGCUCAUUAAAUCAGUCAUGGUUCCUUGGAUCGUACCUUACUACUUGGAUAACUGUGGCAAUUCUAGAGCUAAUACAUGCAGCAGAGCUCCGACCUUCGGGGACGAGCGCUUUUAUUAGACCAAAACCAAUCGGACCUCGUGUCCGUCUCUUGUGGUGACUCUGUAUAACUUUGGGCUGAUCGCACGGGCCUGUCCCGGCGACGUAUCUUUCAAGUGUCUGCCUUAUCAACUUUCGAUGGUAGGUUACGCGCCUACCAUGGUCGUAACGGGUAACGGGGAAUCAGGGUUCGAUUCCGGAGAGGGAGCCUGAGAAACGGCUACCACAUCCAAGGAAGGCAGCAGGCGCGCAAAUUACCCACUCCCAGAACGGGGAGGUAGUGACGAAAAAUAACAAUACGGGACUCUUUUGAGACCCCGUAAUUGGAAUGAGUACACUCUAAAUCCUUUAACGAGGAUCCAUUGGAGGGUAAGUCUGGUGCCAGCAACCGCGGUAAUUCCAGCUCCAAUAGCGUAUAUUAAAGUUGUUGCGGUUAAAAAGCUCGUAGUUGGAUCUCAGUUCCAGACGGGUGGUCCGCCUACCGGUGGUUACUGCCUGUUCUGAACAGUCAGCCGGUUUCUCUUGAUGAUCUUCACCGGUUGUCUUGGGUGACCGGCAAGUUUACUUUGAAAAAAUUAGAGUGCUCAAAGCAGGCGUGACGCCUGAAUAAUGGUGCAUGGAAUAAUGGAAUAGGACCUCGGUUCUAUUUUGUUGGUUUUCGGAACACGAGGUAAUGAUUAAGAGGGACAGACGGGGGCAUUCGUAUUGCGACGCU
rnacentral:rRNA from 13 species